CUUUGGUUGUAAGCUCUUUCGGUUGGGAAGAAGGGAAUAUGGCUAAUACCACAUAUUUUGACGGUACCAGCAUAAGAAGCACCGGCUAAUUCCGUGC
rnacentral:rRNA from 1 species